rnacentral:rRNA from 1 species
UGGGGAAUAUUGGACAAUGGGCGAAAGCCUGAUCCAGCCAUGCCGCGUGUGUGAAGAAGGUCUUCGGAUUGUAAAGCACUUUAAGUUGGGAGGAAGGGCAGUUACCUAAUACGUAUCUGUUUUGACGUUACCGACAGAAUAAGCACCGGCUAACUCUGUGCCAGCAGCCGCGGUAAUACAGAGGGUGCAAGCGUUAAUCGGAAUUACUGGGCGUAAAGCGCGCGUAGGUGGUUUGUUAAGUUGGAUGUGAAAGCCCCGGGCUCAACCUGGGAACUGCAUUCAAAACUGACAAGCUAGAGUAUGGUAGAGGGUGGUGGAAUUUCCUGUGUAGCGGUGAAAUGCGUAGAUAUAGGAAGGAACACCAGUGGCGAAGGCGACCACCUGGACUGAUACUGACACUGAGGUGCGAAAGCGUGGGGAGCAAACAGGAUUAGAUACCCCCGUAGUCCCUGAGCGGGCUGGCAAGGCGCAU